GAGACAUUGCAAGACAGACAUAAUAUAACGUCAGAAAUAGCAGUGAACAUGGAACAUGCUGAUCUUGAAGCUGAAGCUGCAAGACUUUUAGCAUCCUGUGUUUCUGCAGAAUCUGCCUAAAUAGCACCUCUUUGCAGGAGGAGGAAGUGCCAUUCAUCAUUGGCUGGGACCAGUCCGUCGCAGUAGGAAAUGAACCUCUGAAGCCAACUGUCCAAGCUUAUUCAGAUGCUGCAGCGGACAUUCUUUGGCACCUAGCUGCCUCUCUGUG